CUACGGGCGGCUGCAGUGAGGAAUAUUGCACAAUGGGGGGAACCCUGAUGCAGCAACGCCGCGUGGAGGAUGACGCAUUUCGGUGUGUAAACUCCUUUUAUAUGUCAAGAAAAUGACGGUAGCAUAUGAAUAAGCGCCGGCUAACUCCGUGCCAGCAGCCGCGGUAAUACGGAGGGCGCAAGCGUUACUCGGAAUCACUGGGCGUAAAGGACGCGUAGGCGGGUUGAAAAGUCAGGUGUGAAAGCCUACAGCUUAACUGUAGAACUGCACUUGAAACUCUCAACCUAGAGUAUGGGAGGGGCAGAUGGAAUUAGUGGUGUAGGGGUAAAAUCCGUAGAUAUCACUAGGAAUACCUAAAGCGAAGGCGAUCUGCUGGAACAUUACUGACGCUAAGGCGUGAAAGCGUGGGGAGCAAACAGGAUUAGAUACCCUAGUAGUC
rnacentral:rRNA from 1 species